UCAGGGAUCGUCUAAUGGUAAGACCCAGGACUCUGACUCCUGUUAUCUAGGUUCGAAUCCUAGUCCCUGAA
rnacentral:tRNA from 1 species